UUGCAUUCACCGUAAGAAGUUGAGUGGCGGACGGGUGAGUAACACGUGGGUAACCUGCCUAAAAGAAGGGGAUAACACUUGGAAACAGGUGCUAAUACCGUAUAUCUCUAAGGAUCGCAUGAUUCUUAGAUGAAAGAUGGUUCUGCUAUCGCUUUUAGAUGGACCCGCGGCGUAUUAACUAGUUGGUGGGGUAACGGCCUACCAAGGUGAUGAUACGUAGCCGAACUGAGAGGUUGAUCGGCCACAUUGGGACUGAGACACGGCCCAAACUCCUACGGGAGGCAGCAGUAGGGAAUCUUCCACAAUGGACGCAAGUCUGAUGGAGCAACGCCGCGUGAGUGAAGAAGGUCUUCGGAUCGUAAAACUCUGUUGUUAGAGAAGAACACGAGUGAGAGUAACUGUUCAUUCGAUGACGGUAUCUAACCAGCAAGUCACGGCUAACUACGUGCCAGCAGCCGCGGUAAUACGUAGGUGGCAAGCGUUGUCCGGAUUUAUUGGGCGUAAAGGGAACGCAGGCGGUCUUUUAAGUCUGAUGUGAAAGCCUUCGGCUUAACCGGAGUAGUGCAUUGGAAACUGGAAGACUUGAGUGCAGAAGAGGAGAGUGGAACUCCAUGUGUAGCGGUGAAAUGCGUAGAUAUAUGGAAGAACACCAGUGGCGAAAGCGGCUCUCUGGUCUGUAACUGACGCUGAGGUUCGAAAAGCGUGGGUAGCAAACA
rnacentral:rRNA from 1 species